rnacentral:rRNA from 1 species
UGCCGUCUACUCUUGGACAGCCUUCUGAAAGGAAGAUUAAUACAAGAUGGCAUCAUGAGUCCGCAUGUUCACAUGAUUAAAGGUAUUCCGGUAGACGAUGGGGAUGCGUUCCAUUAGAUAGUAGGCGGGGUAACGGCCCACCUAGUCUUCGAUGGAUAGGGGUUCUGAGAGGAAGGUCCCCCACAUUGGAACUGAGACACGGUCCAAACUCCUACGGGAGGCAGCAGUGAGGAAUAUUGGUCAAUGGGCGAGAGCCUGAACCAGCCAAGUAGCGUGAAGGAUGACUGCCCUAUGGGUUGUAAACUUCUUUUAUAAAGGAAUAAAGUCGGGUAUGCAUACCCGUUUGCAUGUACUUUAUGAAUAAGGAUCGGCUAACUCCGUGCCAGCAGCCGCGGUAAUACGGAGGAUUCGAGCGUUAUCCGGAUUUAUUGGGUUUAAAGGGAGCGUAGAUGGAUGUUUAAGUCAGUUGUGAAAGUUUGCGGCUCAACCGUAAAAUUGCAGUUGAUACUGGAUAUCUUGAGUGCAGUUGAGGCAGGCGGAAUUCGUGGUGUAGCGGUGAAAUGCUUAGAUAUCACGAAGAACUCCGAUUGCGAA